CUUUGAGUAAUGCAAUGGUUUGAGUGUUGGAGUGUGACUCUAGAGACCAGGGUUUGAUUCCCUGCUCAAUCA